AGCCUUUAGCUAUAUAAGUAUUAAAGGUGACGCCUGCCCAGUGAACAAUUUUAACGGCCGCGGUAUCCUAACCGUGCAAAGGUAGCGUAAUCACUUGUCCCUUAAAUAGGGACCAGUAUGAACGGCUAAAUGAGGAUAUAUCUGUCUCCUUUAACAAAUCAGUGAAACUGAUCCACCAGUACAAAAGCUGGUAUAAACCCAUAAGACGAGAAGACCCUGUGGAGCUUUAAAUUUAAACCAAACAAUUUUACACAAACACCAGUUCAUGGCUAAAAUUUUAAGUUGGGGCGACUUCGGAAAAAAACAAAACUUCCGAGCAUAAGACUUACAUCUAACCAAGACCCACAAGUCAAAGAUAAAACUUGACCCAGUACAACUGAUAACCGAACCAAGUUACCCCAGGGAUAACAGCGCAAUCUUCUUCAAGAGUUCCCAUCGACAAGAAGGUUUACGACCUCGAUGUUGGAUCAGGACACCCAUAUGGUGUAGCCGCUAUUAAAGGUUCGUUUGUUCAACGAUUAACAGUCCU
rnacentral:rRNA from 1 species